GCCCCCAUCGUCUAGCGGUCUAGGACACUGGCCUUUCAAGCCAGCGGCACGGGUUCGAAUCCCGUUGGGGGCGCCA
rnacentral:tRNA from 14 species